rnacentral:rRNA from 1 species
UCUGACAACCCUAGAGAUAGGGCUUCUCCUUCGGGAGCAGAGUGACAGGUGGUGCAUGGUUGUCGUCAGCUCGUGUCGUGAGAUGUUGGGUUAAGUCCCGCAACGAGCGCAACCCUUGAUCUUAGUUACCAUCAUUUAGUUGGGCACUCUAAGGUGACUGCCGGUGACAAACCGGAGGAAGGUGGGGAUGACGUCAAAUCAUCAUGCCCCUUAUGACCUGGGCUACACACGUGCUACAAUGGACGGUACAAAGAGCUGCAAGACCGCGAGGUGGAGCUAAUCUCAUAAAACCGUUCUCAGUUCGGAUUGUAGGCUGCAACUCGCCUACAUGAAGCUGGAAUCGCUAGUAAUCGCGGAUCAGCAUGCCGCGGUGAAUACGUUCCCGGGCCUUGUACACACCGCCCGUCACACCACGAGAGUUUGUAACACCCGAAGUCGGUGGGGUAACCUUUUUGGAGCCAGCCGCCUAAGGUGGGACAGAUGAUUGGGGUGAAGUCGUAACAAGGUAGCCGUAUCGGAAGGUGCGGCUGGAUCACCUCCUUUCUAUGGA